rnacentral:rRNA from 1 species
CUCGUAGGUGGUUCAGUAAGUCGGGUGUGAAAACUUUGGGCUUAACCCAAAGCGUGCAUCCGAUACUGCUGUGACUUGAGUACGGUAGGGGAGCGGGGAAUUCCUAGUGUAGCGGUGAAAUGCGCAGAUAUUAGGAGGAACACCGGUGGCGAAGGCGCCGCUCUGGGCCGAAACUGACGCUGAGGAGCGAAAGCAUGGGUGCAAACA